AUACGGAGGACGCGAGCGUUAUCCGGAUUCAUUGGGUUUAAAGGGUGCGCAGGCGGCCGUGCAAGUCAGCGGUGAAAGCCCGGGGCUCAACCCCGGAAGUGCCGUUGAUACUGCGUGGCUGGAAUGCGGUCGAGGCGGGCGGGAUGUGGCGGGGAGCGGGGGAAUGCGUAGAUAUGGCACAGAACGCCGAUAGCGGAGGCAGCGCGCCAGGCCUGCAUUGACGCUCGGGCACGAAAGCGUGGGGAUCGAACAGGAUUAGAUACCCUGGUAGUCCACGCCGUAAACGAUGGGCGCUCGUCGUCGGCGACAGACAGUCGGCGGCCAAGCGAAAGCGAUAAGCGCCCCACCUGGGGAGUACGGUCGCAAGGCUGAAACUCAAAUGAAUUGGCGGGG
rnacentral:rRNA from 1 species